UACGUAGGGGGCAAGCGUUGUCCGGAUUUACUGGGCGUAAAGAGCGUGUAGGCGGCCAAACGGGUCCGUUGUGAAAACUGGAGGCUCAACCUCCAGACGUCGACGGAAACCGUGUGGCUAGAGUCCGGAAGAGGAGAGUGGAAUUCCUGGUGUAGCGGUGAAAUGCGCAGAUAUCAGGAAGAACACCAAUGGCGAAGGCAGCUCUCUGGGACGGUACUGACGCUGAGACGCGAAAGCGUGGGGAGCGAACAGG
rnacentral:rRNA from 1 species